rnacentral:ncRNA from 1 species
GAGAGCACAGUACGAUGAAAGUUGUAAGCUGUGUUCGAGGGGGAGUUAUUGUCUAUCUUUGGCCUCUAUGGUAGAAUCAGUCGGUGGACCUGAGAGGCGGUGGUUUACCCUGC